rnacentral:misc_RNA from 1 species
GUUAAAUAUUAAAAAGGUAAAUACAAAUUGAACGCGAUACCCUCUUUCUAUGACUUGAUUAUUGUCAAAAUUGGCUUUAUUCUUUGUACUAUACAUCAAAACGUGGUUACAAGACCUAUACCUAGCUCCUCAGCAAGCUCAUCCCCUACAGGAAGAAGCGUCAACAAAACUAGGAAAAUAGCUGUUACAACAGCCGCUUUCCCUUUCCUCCAUGUACCAACCUCUGUCACGUCAUUCAAGCAUGGUUUUUCUGGAGCUCUCUGACAUAUCAAGACGUACAGUCCCCAUGGGAGAGAUAAUGGUCCACCAAGCACUCCCAAACCAAGUAAAGUGUAAGUUGUCAAGCCAAACCCAACUAGUGCAUUUUUCCCAAAAGCACCCUGUACAGCUCUUCCACCAUCAAGGCACCCCACAGGAAGCAUAUUAAAUGCUGUUGUAGUUAAGCCACACCAGCCUGCA